GCGAUACAGGGUGACAGCCCCGUACACAAAAAUGCACAUGCUGUGAGCUCGAUGAGUAGGGCGGGACACGUGGUAUCCUGUCUGAAUAUGGGGGGACCAUCCUCCAAGGCUAAAUACUCCUGACUGACCGAUAGUGAACCAGUACCGUGAGGGAAAGGCGAAAAGAACCCCGGCGAGGGGAGUGAAAAAGAACCUGAAACCGUGUACGUACAAGCAGUGGGAGCACGCUUAGGCGUGUGACUGCGUACCUUUUGUAUAAUGGGUCAGCGACUUAUAUUCUGUAGCAAGGUUAACCGAAUAGGGGAGCCGAAGGGAAACCGAGUCUUAACUGGGCGUUAAGUUGCAGGGUAUAGACCCGAAACCCGGUGAUCUAGCCAUGGGCAGGUUGAAGGUUGGGUAACACUAACUGGAGGACCGAACCGACUAAUGUUGAAAAAUUAGCGGAUGACUUGUGGCUGGGGGUGAAAGGCCAAUCAAACCGGGAGAUAGCUGGUUCUCCCCGAAAGCUAUUUAGGUAGCGCCUCGUGAAUUCAUCUCCGGGGGUAGAGCACUGUUUCGGCAAGGGGGUCAUCCCGACUUACCAACCCGAUGCAAACUGCGAAUACCGGAGAAUGUUAUCACGGGAGACACACGGCGGGUGCUAACGUCCGUCGUGAAGAGGGAAACAACCCAGACCGCCAGCUAAGGUCCCAAAGUCAUGGUUAAGUGGGAAACGAUGUGGGAAGGCCCAGACAGCCAGGAUGUUGGCUUAGAAGCAGCCAUCAUUUAAAGAAAGCGUAAUAGCUCACUGGUCGAGUCGGCCUGCGCGGAAGAUGUAACGGGGCUAAACCAUGCACCGAAGCUGCGGCAGCGACGCUGAUGCGUUGUUGGGUA
rnacentral:rRNA from 1 species